rnacentral:rRNA from 1 species
CCUACGGGUGGCUGCAGUGGGGAAUAUUGGACAAUGGGGGGAACCCUGAUCCAGCCAUGCCGCGUGUGUGAAGAAGGCCCUCGGGUUGUAAAGCACUUUCAGUGAGGAAGAACGCCUGGUGGUUAAUACCCAUCAGGAAAGACAUCACUCACAGAAGAAGCACCGGCUAACUCCGUGCCAGCAGCCGCGGUAAUACGGAGGGUGCGAGCGUUAAUCGGAAUUACUGGGCGUAAAGCGCGCGUAGGUGGCUUGAUAAGCCGGUUGUGAAAGCCCCGGGCUCAACCUGGGAACGGCAUCCGGAACUGGCAAGCUAAGGGGCAGGAGAGGAAGGUAGAAUUUCCCGUGGAGCGGUGAAAUGCGGUGGGGUCGGGAGGGAUACCAGUGGCGAAGGCGGCCUUCUGGACUGAAACCGACCAUGAGGUUCGGAAGCGUGGGGAGGAAACAGGAUUAGAUACCCGAGUAGUC